GACGAACGCUGGCGGCGUGCUUAACACAUGCAAGUCGAACGAUGAAGCCGGAGCUUGCUCUGGUGAAUUAGUGGCGAACGGGUGAGUAACACGUGAGUAACCUGCCCUUGACUCUGGGAUAACUGCGGGAAACUGUAGCUAAUACCGGAUACGACCCUCGGAGGCAUCUCCUGGGGGGGGAAAGAAUUUCGGUCAAGGAUGGACUCGCGGCCUAUCAGCUAGUUGGUGAGGUAAAGGCUCACCAAGGCGACGACGGGUAGCCGGCCUAAGAGGGUGACCGGCCACACUGGGACUGAGACACGGCCCAGACUCCUACGGGAGGCAGCAGUGGGGAAUAUUGCACAAUGUGCGCAAGCCUGAUGCAGCAACGCCGCGUGAGGGAUGACGGCCUUCGGGUUGUAAACCUCUUUUAGUAGGGAAGAAGCGAAAGUGACGGUACCUGCAGAAAAAGCACCGGCUAACUACGUGCCAGCCGCCGCGGUAA
rnacentral:rRNA from 1 species